UACGUAGGGGGCGAGCGUUGUCCGGAUUUAUUGGGCGUAAAGAGCUCGUAGGUGGCGUGUCGCGUCUGCCGUGAAAGCCCAUGGCUUAACUGUGGGUCUGCGGUGGAUACGGGCAGGCUGGAGGCUGGUAGGGGCAAGCGGAAUUCCUGGUGUAGCGGUGAAAUGCGCAGAUAUCAGGAAGAACACCCGUGGCGAAGGCGGCUCUCUGGGACGGUACUGACGCUGAGACGCGAAAGCGUGGGGAGCGAACAGG
rnacentral:rRNA from 1 species